GACGAACGCUGGCGGCGUGCUUAACACAUGCAAGUCGAGCGAGAGACCUUCGGGUCUCUAGCGGCGGACGGGUGAGUAACACGUGGGUAACCUGCCUCAAAGUGGGGGAUAGCCUUCCGAAAGGAAGAUUAAUACCGCAUAACAUCGUAGCUUCACAUGAAGCCAUGAUUAAAGGAGUAAUCCGCUUUGAGAUGGACCCGCGUCGCAUUAGCUAGUUGGAGAGGUAACGGCUCACCAAGGCGACGAUGCGUAGCCGACCUGAGAGGGUGAUCGGCCACAUUGGAACUGAGACACGGUCCAGACUCCUACGGGAGGCAGCAGUGGGGAAUAUUGCACAAUGGGCGAAAGCCUGAUGCAGCAACGCCGCGUGAGUGAAGAAGGUCUUCGGAUUGUAAAACUCUGUCUUUUGGGACGAUAAUGACGGUACCAAAGGAGGAAGCCACGGCUAACUACGUGCCAGCAGCCGCGGUAAUACGUAGGUGGCAAGCGUUGUCCGGAUUUACUGGGCGUAAAGGAUGUGUAGGCGGAUAUUUAAGUGAGAUGUGAAAUCCCCGAGCUCAACUUGGGGGCUGCAUUUCAAACUGGGUAUCUAGAGUGCAGGAGAGGAAAGCGGAAUUCCUAGUGUAGCGGUGAAAUGCGUAGAGAUUAGGAAGAACAUCAGUGGCGAAGGCGGCUUUCUGGACUGUAACUGACGCUGAGGCAUGAAAGCGUGGGGAGCAAACAGGAUUAGAUACCCUGGUAGUCCACGCCGUAAACGAUGAGUACUAGGUGUAGGAGGUAUCGACUCCUUCUGUGCCGCAGUUAACACAAUAAGUACUCCGCCUGGGAAGUACGGUCGCAAGAUUA
rnacentral:rRNA from 1 species